UACGUAGGGUGCAAGCGUUAAUCGGAAUUACUGGGCGUAAAGCGUGCGCAGGCGGUUAUGUAAGACAGAUGUGAAAUGCCCGGGCUUAACCUGGGAACUGCAUUUGUGACUGCAUGGCUAGAAUCUGGCAGAGGGGGGUAGAAUUCCACGUGUAGCAGUGAAAUGCGUAGAUAUGUGGAGGAACACCGAUGGCGAAGGCAGCCCCCUGGGUCAAGAUUGACGCUCGAUGCACGAAAAGCGUGGGGGAGCAAACAGG
rnacentral:rRNA from 1 species